rnacentral:rRNA from 1 species
UGUAGCGUACCUACUAGCCUACGACGGGUACGGGUUGUGAGAGCAAGAGCCCGGAGAUGGAUUCUGAGACACGAAUCCAGGCCCUACGGGGUGCAGCAGGCGCGAAAACUUUACAAUGCUGGCAACAGCGAUAAGGGAACCUCGAGUGCCAGGUUACAAAUCUGGCUGUCGAGAUGCCUAAAAAGCAUUUCAUAGCAAGGGCCGGGCAAGACCGGUGCCAGCCGCCGCGGUAACACCGGCGGCUCGAGUGGUAACCGUUAUUAUUGGGUCUAAAGGGUCUGUAGCCGGCCGGAUAAGUCUCUUGAGAAAUCUGGCAGCUUAACUGUCAGGCUUUCAGGAGAUACUGUCUGGCUCGAGGCCGGGAGAGGUGAGAGGUACUUCAGGGAUAGGGGUGAAAUCUUGUAAUCCUUGAAGGACCACCAGUGGCGAAGGCGUCUCACCAGAACGGACCUGACGGCAAGGGACGAAAGCUAGGGGCACGAACCGGAUUAGAUACCCGGGUAGUCCUAGCCGUAAACGAUACUCGCUAGGUGUCGGCCACGGUGCGACCGUUGUCGGUGCCGUAGGGAAGCCGUGAAGCGAGC